AAAGUCGAACCGUCGUAAGCCGAAUGAUGAUUUCCUGGGAGCUUGCACUUCUUGACAGGUGCACCGAACCCACCGUCGGACUAUUUCAGCGGCUCCGCCAGCACGACAGAACAUCAACUCAGCCAAGGCAUGGCGUAUCAAAAACUGCCACACACACACACACACACACACACACAGCCAUUUGCCUUGCCCUGACUGCACACAAUUCUGUGGAGAAAAGUGCAUGAUUGUACACAAUCAAAUAAAGACGUUGACGAUGUGCUUCAGGUUUUGCGCCUCGUAUACAUUCUCCGUGUGACAGCCAAAGAGAGCGAGACAUAUGUACACUCGGUGCUCUCUCUCACUGCAUUUCCAUCCUCUCAGUGCUGCAUAAGCACUCAUGCUGGCGCCUGCAGUUUUUUCAUCAGCCAAAAGAGGACAGUGUGGAACAUGUCAUCUCCGGGGAGAGAAUAGAAACUUUCAGCUGUGCAAUGCCCUUGGUGUGCGACUCUAAAAUAAGUGUUUACACUUUAUCCGUUUUUCCUCAUUGCGGUCGUCACAUCAGCCCUUACCAUUGAACAACACAAUUUCAGCCUUUCUAGCCAGUCUGCGUUUGCCGGUUUGCCGGCGUGUCAUCCGCCCUGCGUAUUAAGCGCAGGGUAAAAUGGCUCGGAGGAAGCGGUGACCAGGGGACGCGAGGAGAUGCGGGAGGGAGGAAGAAGUUGAUCGCGAAAGACAAAGUGCGAGGGGAGAGAAGGCGAUGUGGGAGUCUGCAGGAAGCGGAACGGACAGCCUCGUGAAGCUCAGCGGAAGAGGCAGCAGCCAGGGGAGAGACGCCGCGAACCGCGGACGUGAAGCGUUCUGACACACGGGUAGCGGAGCGAACAGGGCCGACACAACGGCGGGAGGCGGCGGGCGCUGCGAGGCAUCACGACGUACAGUAGGGAGCUACCGCCAAUGCAGAAAUGUGGAUUAUACCACCAACGAAACAGAAGCUCAUCUGUAAGCCUCGAGUCUUCAGCUUCAAGCAAGUCCCAGUUACCGGUCGGGUCCCGCUACAUUUCGAGCAAGUCGAGCAACGUCGCGUAGUUCCUGGCAGAAGGAGCGUACUAAUGUGUGACAUUGUCUUCUUUUCACACACGGAGACAGCUGCUGUGAAAUAAAAAUGGCGAGAAACCAUUUCUUCCCCGAGAAGAAAGACGCCACGGAAGCCAAAGCUGUUGCGUUCGUGACAGAAAUGAAAGCGGUCUAUCUCAUAUGCGGCUUAGACAACAGUUGUAACCAACAAUACAGUUUGAAUUAUCAUUUUUGAACCCAUACCACUAAAAACCGCAUGGCAUACAAAGGAAAAAUAUUGAAAGUAAAUCUCGACCUGAUGUUUUGUUUUUAAAAAAUCUCAGUUUCCCACCUACUGGGCAAGCAGCUGAAUUUUCUUCUUGGAAACUAAAAGUUAAAAUGCACUGUUCCAAAUGAUGAUGCACAAGUUUUAAAGAACUGAAAAUAAAAUGAAAAGUUGACUGUUGAAUUUGCAGCAUGAGGUCAUAUUUACCCAAAUCAAAAGCCACUUUCGAUUACAAAAAAAAAAAAAAACGUCUUAACGGGUCAAUGACAUUUUGACAUAUUUGAAAGCGGCUUCACAAUUCUUAAAUCCAUGAAACUUUUCUCGAGAGUUUCUACUUGAAUUUCUUUUGUGAAAUUGUGCAUUGUCAGAAGUUAUUUGGAUGCGUUUUCAGUUUGGACUAAAACACUUUAGUCAUUGAGGUCCUCUUGAAUCCAGGCAACAAACAAGUCCGAGCUGUGCCCAGCAGUAUUGUUCCGGCCUUGGGGUCCGGGCUUGCUUAUUGUCGAU